AGGAUAACGGCAGUGAGGUGUGCUGGCAGCAGGAGCCCUCGCUGGUCUGCAUGGAGACUGAUCUCAGCGCAACAAACCUCAACUCUGGCCCGAACCAAGUCAGAAAGAUACUCCUAGUUACAUGUUUUCUAAAAGGCAGACAGAUUGACAUCACGGAGUUACACCCAACGUUUAGGUAUGACUUAAAAGUUUUGGAACAGCGUUGGUAAUUGAGCAAGUAAUGCUUGUGAAAGUAAAUAUAUUCAUUUAAUGACGGGCCUUUGUAAAUAAUAUGUGCCAUAGAAAUGACUCAUUAAAUAUAUUUGCACUCUUAACUAGUUAUAUUUUGUGUCAAAGGGCAAUGAGGAAAAUGCAACUUGCUGAACAGAGAUCUCUUUUUGUGAGCUACUGUAACGUGACAAUCUGUAAUUUAAAGCAUUACGUUUCAGGUUUGCCCUGCUUAAUACAGUACAUCAUAUCAACCAUGUGGUUACAUCUUCUAGGGGGUCUAGUAGUACUUCCUAGAGACUACAAAAUAACUAAGUGCUCUGUGUGUGGUUCAAUAUACACAACUAGUGCGUUGUAGGUCCUUCAUAAUUUCCCUUAGCAAGUGGGGUGAGAUUUUAUGUUGUCCUACCCACUAACUGUUAAAAACACAUACCAAUGUUAAAUAACGUUUGAAAUGUAUGCUAUAAAAUGUUAUUUAAAUCUUCAGGUAUUGACAAAUUCUGACUGAAAUUGAAAAGCUGCUGUUCUAACUUGAACAUUCUGUCUUGAAUCAGUAGUGGCUUCAGGAAGGAUAUUUUUAUUUUUUCUCUGAACAAGAACAUUUAGCUCCAAUAUGUUUAAAACUUCUUCAUUAAGAUGCACGUACAUGUUUUCAAAGAUGCAACAAAACCUAAUGCUGCAAAGACUUGUAAGUUAAUUUUGUCAGUCAAAGCCUAUGUAACAAAAAAAUAUAAAGUAAUAAAAUGUUCAGACCUC